UAGCAACAAAGUAGUUUACAAACUGGACCACAGGACAGUAGUUAACCUUUUUUAUUGUUUUUUUUAUUUUUAAUUGUUCAAUAAUUAUUCUGCAAAAUAAAAAUAGAAACAUCUUUAGACUUCAUAUUUAAGAUACAUAAAUUUAUACAUUGUAAAUUUAUUAGCAAUUCAUUUCCUUGGUAAUAAAAAUGUCAACAGAUUCUGAAAGAUAUGUUUUUGAAGCGGAAUGGCACGAUAAAAUGGCUUGCAUUACUAGAAAAUUUUUAUUAUAUUAUUAUCUCACAGAUAAUUCCGUAGAACUGUUCGAUGUAAAAACAAGGAAAACCUUUUUAAGAAGAACAAAAUGCGAGGGAGUUGAUGAAUCAAAUUUUUACGUCGGUGCAGUUGUCACUAUUUUUGCACGAAGUAUGAAAUUGAUUAGUUUUGCCGAUUUUUCUACGAAAACAAGAGUGUCACAGAAAAUUCAAAAGACACUUGGAAUUAUAAUGCCGGAUCUUCACGACAAAAUUGGAGAAAUGUUAAAACGAAUAUUAGCUGAAAAUUUUAAAAUCGGAAAUUUAAAAAUGGUUCAUUUAUCAAGAGAAGAUGCGAUGGAUUUUUUCAGGGAAAAGGGAGAUAAUUCAGCAUUGAUGUUAAAUCGCAUAACUUCGGGACCAAUUUUAGCUCUAGAACUUUUAGGACAGGAUUGUAUUUCCCGAUGGCUGGAGCAAAUAGCACCAAAUGAAAUUUCCGAAGUCGGAGAAAAAGAUUCUUCAACUUUAAGAGUUUUUUAUGAAAAAGAAGCUGGCGAGAAUGCAUUUUACGGUUCUUCUAAUGAAACAGCAGAACAGGAUGUAAAAUUUUUCUUUCCCGAUCCAAUGAGCGAAAAACGAGAAUUGCCAAAUACAGCAACAAUCACAGAUUGUACUUGUUGCAUUAUUAAACCUCACGCUGUGACAUCGAAACUUGCUGGCGAUAUAAUUGACGAUAUACAAAAGAAAGGAUUUCUUAUCACCGCGAUGCAACUUUUUCACGUGGAUCCAGUGAAUGUCGAAGAGUUUCUUGAAGUUUAUAAAGGAGUUCUUCCUGAUUAUGGGGCAAUGGUUGCGGAAUUACAAUCGGGACCUUGCAUUGCAAUGGAGAUAAAACGUAAAGACGAGAGUGUUAAUGUUCCAGUGGAAUUCAGAAAAUUCUGCGGUCCCAUGGAUCCAGAAAUCGCUAAACACGUCAGACCCGACACAUUACGUGCCAAAUAUGGAAAAACAAAGGUUCAAAACGCCGUUCAUUGCUCAGAUUUACCAGAAGAUGGAAUUUUAGAGGUGCAGUAUUUUUUCAAGAUCCUUAGCGAAUCUUGAAGAAAGGAGCCGAAUUGAUUAGGAAAAUGCUGCUGUAAAUCACAGACAAAAGCAAGUGAUCCUCUGACAUUAUUCGUGCCGAUUUGUUACGCGUGGGUAUCUGUUCCAGAACAAGCAAAUCGGCGAAGAUGACUGCGCUUAAAUUUCAUUGGCUUAUUAGAAAAUGAGUUUUCAUACCGACCAACUUGUUACAAUCGGUAUGAAGCAGUAGCGCGUUUGACAUCGCUCUGUAAGGAUACUUGUGCCAAUUUUUUUUCGGCCACAGAUCCAAAAUUACAAAAAAAGAAAAAAAACAUAAUAAUUUUAAAAUACAAGAAAAUAAAAUUUUAUCACUUAUUUUAAUUUUUUUUUAUGUAAGAAAUAUU